rnacentral:rRNA from 1 species
GACGAACGCUGGCGGCGCGCCUAACACAUGCAAGUCGAACGGAGCUUGCCUAUCUGAUCCUUUCGGGGUGACGACUUGUAAGCUUAGUGGCGAACGGGUGAGUAACACGUGAGUAACCUGCCCCAGAGUGGGGGACAACAGUCGGAAACGACUGCUAAUACCGCAUGAUACAUUUGGGCGGCAUCGCUUGAAUGUCAAAGAUUUUAUCGCCGAAAGAUGGCCUCGCGUCUGAUUAGAUAGUUGGCGGGGUAACGGCCCACCAAGUCGACGAUCAGUAGCCGGACUGAGAGGUUGACCGGCCACAUUGGGACUGAGAUACGGCCCAG